rnacentral:rRNA from 1 species
GGGUGCGUAAUAGCUCACUAGUCGAGUGACACUGCGCCGAAAAUGUACCGGGGCUAAACAUAUUACCGAAGCUGUGGAUUGUCCUUUGGACAAUGGUAGGAGAGCGUUCUAAGGGCGUCGAAGCAUGAUCGCAAGGACAUGUGGAGCGCUUAGAAGUGAGAAUGCCGGUGUGAGUAGCGAAAGACGGGUGAGAAUCCCGUCCACCGAUUGACUAAGGUUUCCAGAGGAAGGCUCGUCCGCUCUGGGUUAGUCGGGUCCUAAGCUGAGGCCGACAGGCGUAGGCGAUGGAUAACAGGUUGAUAUUCCUGUACCACCUAGUAUCGUUUUAAUCGAUGGGGGGACGCAGUAGGAUAGGCGAAGCGUGCUGUUGGAGUGCACGUCCAAGCAGUAAGGCUGAGUGUUAGGCAAAUCCGGCACUCAUAAGGCUGAGCUGUGAUGGGGAGAGGAAAUUGUUUCCUCGAGUCGUUGAUUUCACACUGCCGAGAAAAGCCUCUAGAUAGAUAACAGGUGCCCGUACCGCAAACCGACACAGGUAGUCAAGAUGAGAAUUCUAAGGUGAGCGAGCGAACUCUCGUUAAGGAACUCGGCAAAAUGACCCCGUAACUUCGGGAGAAGGGGUGCUCUUUAGGGUUCACGCCCAGAAGAGCCGCAGUGAAUAGGCCCAAGCGACUGUUUAUCAAAAACACAGGUCUCUGCUAAACCGUAAGGUGAUGUAUAGGGGCUGACGCCUGCCCGGUGCUGGAAGGUUAAGAGGAGUGGUUAGCUUCUGCGAAGCUACGAAUCGAAGCCCCAGUAAACGGCGGCCGUAACUAUAACGGUCCUAAGGUAGCGAAAUUCCUUGUCGGGUAAGUUCCGACCCGCACGAAAGGCGUAACGAUUUGGGCACUGUCUCAACGAGAGACUCGGUGAAAUCAUAGUACCUGUGAAGAUGCAGGUUACCCGCGACAGGACGGAAAGACCCCGUGGAGCUUUACUGUAGCCUGAUAUUGAAAUUCGGCACAGCUUGUACAGGAUAGGUAGGAGCCUUUGAAACGUGAGCGCUAGCUUACGUGGAGGCGUUGGUGGGAUACUACCCUAGCUGUGUUGGCUUUCUAACCCGCACCACUUAUCGUGGUGGGAGACAGUGUCAGGCGGGCAGUUUGACUGGGGCGGUCGCCUCCUAAAAGGUAACGGAGGCGCUCAAAGGUUCCCUCAGAAUGGUUGGAAAUCAUUCAUAGAGUGUAAAGGCAUAAGGGAGCUUGACUGCGAGACCUACAAGUCGAGCAGGGUCGAAAGACGGACUUAGUGAUCCGGUGGUUCCGCAUGGAAGGGCCAUCGCUCAACGGAUAAAAGCUACCCCGGGGAUAACAGGCUUAUCUCCCCCAAGAGUUCACAUCGACGGGGAGGUUUGGCACCUCGAUGUCGGCUCAUCGCAUCCUGGGGCUGUAGUCGGUCCCAAGGGUUGGGCUGUUCGCCCAUUAAAGCGGUACGCUAGCUGGGUUCAGAACGUCGUGAGACAGUUCGGUCCCUAUCCGUCGUGGGCGUAGGAAAUUUGAGAGGAGCUGUCCUUAGUACGAGAGGACCGGGAUGGACAUACCUCUGGUGUACCAGUUGUCGUGCCAACGGCAUAGCUGGGUAGCUAUGUAUGGACGGGAUAAGUGCUGAAAGCAUCUAAGCAUGAAGCCCCCCUCAAGAUGAGAUUUCCCAACUUCGGUUAUAAGAUCCCUCGAAGAUGACGAGGUUAAUAGGUUCGAGGUGGAAGCGUGGUGACACGUGGAGCUGACGAAUACUAAUCGAUCGAAGACUUAAUC